rfam:Rhizophagus irregularis DAOM 197198w jcf7180003194074, whole genome shotgun sequence.
UUCCCACGAGAUACCUGCAGAUCGUAUAAACCUUUCGCCUUUUACUAAAGGUUUCCGUGUGGGUGUCUCGGUGCAGUGGGAUAUGUAAAUUUUUUGAAAAAAAAAAAUUUCUUCGGAAAUUUU